GGCACAAACACAAUAGGUCAGUUAAGUCUCUGAUCAAAUGCACAGUAUCUGUGGAAGUCAGUCAGUAAACAUUAUUCGAGCAUAUGCAGGACUCAGUGCAAGGAUUAUCCCCCUGACAAAUUGUUUCAAUAUUUUUACUUUCAUUGCCAAAACAAACAUCCUGUAAUAUACCAGCAGAAAGAUGUGAUUCAUUACUACUUAGCAGUUAGUUAAACUGACCGGUCAAUGCUCAUGAUAAAAUAUGGGCAUAUUAUUAAAGAAACUCUAUAAAGUCUCUGAUCACAUGAACUUAAGGUUACAUAGUCUUUUAAUUUAAAAUGAUGACAAUAAUGUUUCCACAUGCCAUAACAGUUUAUAUGAAGAUCAUUUUCUUUUCACUACUCACAUAUCUUAGAAACUUUACUUUAGUGAUCAACAUUAUUGCUCUUGAUUAACCAGAUUUAUCCUAAAACAUGCACAGAGAUUCAGGAUCUGAUUGAGAAGUGCCUGUCCAUUGAUCCAGCUAAACGACCAACUCUAGACCAGAUGUUAGAACAUCCCUGGUUUAAAAUGGGUGAAGAAGGAGGGAUGGUAGGCCAUUUAGUCCAACAUUACUAUGAAAUAUGAGGUAUUGCAGUGGUUCCCCUGUCUGUAUUUGGUAUAAUAACACCUGCUAAAUCUGCUUCUUCUAGUCAGCCGAAUUCCGUCAGAUCAUGGAUGAACUCAGGCAGAACACUGACAAACCCAGUUAGACCAUCAAGAAAGCCAGUUUCCAAUAAGGAAGGAAAAAACAGCAAAAUCUGUUAAAAGACAUUGGGGAAGAAGAUAAAGAGCCCCUUUGUUCACUGCUUAGGGAGGAACAAAGUGGUACCUUUCAUACCCUCCCCAGAGCUGAAACCGGGGAAUCCGGGGAAGGCCAAUGAUGAUCUGGACAAAUCACAGAUGAAGACCAGUUCCGGGAUGAAGACUGAUGAUGAUAUUGCCCAUCCCGUGGCACUAAUCACCUACAAAGCUUUAAAUGGCCUAGCACCCUCAAAUCUUGGAGAACUACUAUCAACCUGCAUUAACGACGACAGUGGGGCCUCCAGCCUUAGUCAAACGGGUUGGCACAUAUGGUCGGGUCGCGAUUUUGUCGCUUUCGUGUAUCUUGCGAAUAGUAUGCCAUACAAACCCGUUUGCCACUGAACCUGCAUUAACGACGACAGUGGGGCCUCCAGCCUUAGUCAAACGGGUUGGCACGUAUGGUCGGGUCACGAUUUUGGCGCUUUCGUGUGUCUUUUGAAUAUGCCAUACAGACCCGUUUGCCACUGAACCUGCAUUAACGACGACAGUGGGGCCUCCAGCCUUAGUCAAACGGGUUGGCACAUAUGGUCGGGUCGCGAUUUUGGCGCUUUCGUGUAUCUUGCGAAUAGUAUGCCUUACAGACCCGUUUGCCACUGAACCUGCAUUAACGACGACAGUGGGGCCUCCAGCCUUAGUCAAACGGGUUGGCACAUAUGGUCGGGUCGCGAUUUUGGCGCUUUCGUGUGUCUUGUGAAUAUGCCAUACAGACCCGUUUGCCACUGAACCUGCAUUAACGACGACAGUGGGGCCUCCAGCCUUAGUCAAACUGGUUGGCACAUAUGGUCGGGUUGCGAUUUUGGCGCUUUCGUGUGUCUUGUGAAUACUAUGCCAUAAAGACCCGUUUGCCACUGAACCUGCAUUAACGACGACAGAGGGGCCUCCAGCCUUAGUCAAACGGGUUGGCACGUAUGGUCGGGUUGCGAUUUUGGCGCUUUUGUGUAUCUUGCGAAUAUGCCAUACAGACCCGUUUGCCACUGAACCUGCAUUAACGACGACAGUGGGGCCUCCAGCCUUAGUCAAACGGGUUGGCACGUAUGGUCGGGUUGCGAUUUUGGCGCUUUCGUGUGUCUUGUGAAUACUAUGCCAUAAAGACCCGUUUGCCACUGAACCUGCAUUAACGACGACAGAGGGGCCUCCAGCCUUAGUCAAACGGGUUGGCAUGUAUGGUCGGGUUGCGAUUUUGGCGCUUUCGUGUAUCUUGCGAAUAUGCCAUACAGACCCGUUUGCCACUGAACCUGCAUUAACGACGACAGUGGGGCCUCCAGCCUUAGUCAAACGGGUUGGCACUUAUGGUCGGGUUGCGAUUUUGGCGCUUUCGUGUAUCUUGCGAAUAUGCCAUACAGACCCGUUUGCCACUGAACCUGCAUUAACGACGACAGUGGGGCCUCCAGCCUUAGUCAAACGGGUUGGCACGUAUGGUCGGGUUGCGAUUUUGGCGCUUUCGUGUAUCUUGCGAAUAGUAUGCCAUACAGACCCGUUUGCCACUGAACCUGCAUUAACAACGACAGUGGGGCCUCCAGCCUUAGUCAAACGGGUUGGCACGUAUGGUCGGGUCGUGAUUUUGGCGCUUUCGUGUAUCUUGCGAAUAGUAUGCCAUACAGACCCGUUUGCCACUAAACCUGCAUUAACGACGACAGUGGGGCCUCCAGCCUUAGUCAAACGGGUUGGCACGUAUGGUCGGGUUGGGAUUUUGCCGCUUUCGUGUGUCUUGUGAAUACUAUGCCAUAAUGACCCGUUUGCCACUGAACCUGCAUUAACGACGACAGUGGGGCUUCAAGCCUUAGUCAAAGGGGUCGACAGGUUUCAUUAUCUCUUAAAGAUUGGAAGGUGACCCUUAGUUACCAUAUAUACCUUCGCAUUGGGCCCCUAAUUUGCUAAAUCCUCGUCUGUUGAUAACAUAAUUAUGCCGCAAUAGUUAUCCUGUCUGGAACUAAGCUGAUUUAAACCACAACACUGUGUGACACUUGCAUUACUGUACAUGUGAACGGCCCCUACGCUAAAAUGAUUUUGUUUUUCCCUCCCUGUCUCGUCCUCGACCCCGAGGACAGUGAGACAAACAGACCCAGUUCCGGUAAAUGUGAAAGUCGGCACACCUCUGAUCUACUGGCCGUCCUUCAACGUGAUGCCCAGCUGAUGCCGGACCAACGAUCACCGGCAGAACCCGCUUAAUCUCCACUUAAUCUCCUUAUCCGUUUAUAUGUCUGUAUAUAUAUAUAUAUAUAUAUCUCCCAAGGGUUUAUUCCUCCUAGGACUUUUUUUAUUUCCCCGGCUAAAAAGCCUGGGUUUUUUUCUCCUAGGGGUUUUUUUAAAGGGGGGGUUUAAUGGUAUUUCAAGCAUUCUGACUUAUUAACACAGUUAUAGAGUUGUUUCCUCAUGCUAAACGUAGGCAAAGUGUCAAAACCGCAGUUGGGCAUGUUUCAGAGUAUUUCUGUGCCGAAUGCACUUCGCCAGGGUUCGUACAAGUUUCGGCUAGUUUUUUUCGAUUACAGUUCGAACUGACGUUUCAGGGGUUUUCGAAACGUAUCACUUCUUUAUAUGGGCUUCCGGCGGAAAACUUCCCCCGGAAAACCCCGCCCAGCCGUCAGUCAGCGGGAGACGCUAGAGCUUGCUAACAGCUUAUCACGCCACUCAGCUUUGUUUAAUUUCAAAAGUCAACAAUGGCACAACAAGAAGUGUGUUUUUGGAUGUAAGGAGAAGACAUUCAGCCUUAUGGAAACAAUGGAUAUAGUUUAUUAUCCGGAUUAGCAGCGGAGUUUUCCAUGUGUGUUUGAUGCUGUGGAUUUUCAGAACCGGGUCAUGACGAGUUAAAGCGCUAUAUAAAUAAAAUUGAAUUGAAUUGAAAGGCAGACAGUGAUCUGCCGAAUACUACAAAGACUGAUGAUGUCUCAGACGCCCCUCAGCAUUACACUGGCACUUAUUCCAUCGGUAAUGGACUUAAGGCUACCGAUGACCAAGCCUUAACCAAGCUGGGGGCAGAGAAACGUCUGACCAAUUUCGUCUUGAACUCUGAUGCCAGUUCAGCCGAGCCUCAGAUGACUGCCAUUUAUUUGGUCAGCGAUGGACUAAAGGUUGAUGAAACAGAUGAGGUGCUUGGGGUGAGUGGCUUUACCAGCAGGAUGUGCCAAAAAGCCAUGAAUCUGAUGACAAACAGAAGGCUAACAACAAUUCAGAUGAUGCCAAAUUUAAGACUGGCACCAUUCCCAAGACAAAGAGUUUCAUUAAUCCAUAUGAACCCAAGGAGAAGACGGACCCCAACCCUGCCAAUCCCAAGCCAAAGAAGCCAACCUCUUCUACAAGCGAUAAGGUGCCCGGGGCGAUUGGCUUUACCAGCAGGAUGUACCAAGAAAGAGAAGAAACGGGUAACAAACUCAACAUUGUGCUCUUUACA